UCUGUAUUAUUAUUGUUUUCUUUUUCUUCAAUUUUCCGUCUUUUGAUCCAUAUUUAUAUAUAUAUUUACUAAAUAGAUAUACCAUUCUAUACAUGCAUGCUCAUACAUAUAUUUUUGUAUUAUAUUGCUAUAAAUGUUAAAUGGAGAAGACUUCAUAAGUCUGUUUGACUUGUGUCUUAUCCAAUUUGUACUUUAACAAAUAAAAUAUGUUUAAACUAAUAGAUUAUCUAGUAAUUUUUGUAACAUUUCAGGAGACUUACUAAACAAUACAGUGUCAUCAGCGAAAAGAAUUAAGUAAAUUAGAAAACCAUUCAGUUGUACAACGUCAUCACUAGCAUUUACGGACAUAUCUUCUAUAAUAUCAUUG
rnacentral:lncRNA from 1 species